rnacentral:lncRNA from 1 species
GCCCUAUACAGCUACACCCACAGACCUCUAGUUCGACACUUCAAACCCACGCUCUAUGGCCUCUCUUUCCUCCUCCUAAAUUUUCUGCAUCCACACACUACUUCCUCUCUUACACAAAUCCACCUCACACCAAAUCUUUUCCUCUCUCUCCCUCCACGGCCUACUCUAGAUACCCCACUCUCAAAUCCUGAAAUCACUUCUCUCUCACAAACCUCACUCACACACCGCAUUCCUCCAUCUCGCUCCUCCCGUGGACUUCUCAUCAUACCUCCCCUUAUACUCAC